rnacentral:rRNA from 1 species
UGGGGAAUAUUGCGCAAUGGGGGGAACCCUGACGCAGCCAUGCCGCGUGAAUGAAGAAGGCCUUCGGGUUGUAAAGUUCUUUCGGUAUUGAGGAAGGUUGAUGUGUUAAUAGCACAUCAAAUUGACGUUAAAUACAGAAGAAGCACCGGCUAACUCCGUGCCAGCAGCCGCGGUAAUACGGAGGGUGCGAGCGUUAAUCGGAAUAACUGGGCGUAAAGGGCACGCAGGCGGUUAUUUAAGUGAGGUGUGAAAGCCCCGGGCUUAACCUGGGAAUUGCAUUUCAGACUGGGUAACUAGAGUACUUUAGGGAGGGGUAGAAUUCCACGUGUAGCGGUGAAAUGCGUAGAGAUGUGGAGGAAUACCGAAGGCGAAGGCAGCCCCUUGGGAAUGUACUGACGCUCAUGUGCGAAAGCGUGGGGAGCAAACAGGAUUAGAUACCCUGGUAGUCCACGCUGUAAACGCUGUCGAUUUGGGGGUUGAGGUUUAACUCUGGCGCCCGUAGCUAACGUGAUAAAUCGACCGCCUGGGGAGUACGGCCGCAAGGUUA